rnacentral:piRNA from 1 species
UUCUGGUUGUGGCCCCUCAGGCUUUCC